rnacentral:rRNA from 1 species
ACCCGCUGAACUUAAGCAUAUCAAUAAGCGGAGGAAAAGAAACCAACAGGGAUUGCCUUAGUAACGGCGAGUGAAGCGGCAACAGCUCAAAUUUGAAAUCUGGCCUCUUUGGGGUCCGAGUUGUAAUUUGCAGAGGGCGCUUUGGCGUUGGCAGCGGUCCAAGUUCCUUGGAACAGGACGUCACAGAGGGUGAGAAUCCCGUACGUGGUCGCUAGCCUUCGCCGUGUAAAGCCCCUUCGACGAGUCGAGUUGUCUGGGAAUGCAGCUCUAAAUGGGAGGUAAAUUUCUUCUAAAGCUAAAUACUGGCCAGAGACCGAUAGCGCACAAGUAGAGUGAUCGAAAGAUGAAAAGCACUUUGGAAAGAGAGUCAAACAGCACGUGAAAUUGUUGAAAGGGAAGCGCUUGCAGCCAGACUUGCCUGUAGUUGCUCAUCCGGGCUUUUGCCCGGUGCACUCUUCUGCGGGCAGGCCAGCAUCAGUUUGGGCGGUUGGAUAAAGGUCUCUGUCAUGUACCUCUCUUCGGGGAGGCCUUAUAGGGGAGACGACAUGCAACCAGCCCAGACUGAGGUCCGCGCAUUUGCUAGGAUGCUGGCGUAAUGGCUGU